AUUAUCUUGGGGCUCAGAGGACAGUGCGAGCGCUGGGGUGUGCGAGGUUCGAGGGAGAAAGUCUCAAGAGAAGUCAGCUGCCAUAUGUUGAGACACUCAAGCAGCCUACAGUGAGGCCCACAUCAUGAGGAACUGAGGCCUCCUGCCAACGGCCAGUAAGAAACUGAGGCCUCUGUGUUGUAAGGGAGCCAUCCUGAAAGUGGAUCCUCCAGCCCCAGUCAGGCCUUCAGAGGGGUGCAGCUGACAUAUUGACCACACCUUCAUGAGAAACCCUGAGCCGGAACCCUGCAGCCACACAACUUCUGAAUUCCUCACCCACGGAAACUACAAGACAGUCGUGCACCGCAUGCUGACAAUGGACCACAUGUAUGACAGUGGUCUUGUAUAUUAUAAUGGAGCUGAAAAAUUCCUGUCACCUAGUGAUGUUGCAGCCACCGUGGCAUCAUAGUGCAACUCAUGACUCAGGAGCCUGUGGUGAAGCUGGAGUAAACAAACCUACUGCGCCGCCAGUUGUACGAAAGCAGAGCACACACAAUUAUGUGCACUACAAAAUACUUGAUAAUGAUAAUAAACG